rnacentral:rRNA from 1 species
UACGGGGGGGGCAAGCGUUGUUCGGAAUUACUGGGCGUAAAGGGCUCGUAGGCGGCCAACUAAGUCCGACGUGAAAUCCCCAGGCUUAACUUGGGAACUGCGUCGGAUACUGGAUGGCUUGAAUCCGGGAGAGGGAUGCGGAAUUCCAGGUGUAGCGGUGAAAUGCGUAGAUAUCUGGAGGAACACCGGUGGCGAAGGCGGCAUCCUGGACCGGCAUUGACGCUGAGGAGCGAAAGCCAGGGGAGCAAACGGG